AUUGAACGCUGGCGGCAGGCCUAACACAUGCAAGUCGAACGGUAGCACAGAGAGCUUGCUCUCGGGCGACGAGUGGCGGACGGGUGAGUAAUGUCUGGGAAACUGCCCGAUGGAGGGGGAUAACUACUGGAAACGGUAGCUAAUAACGCAUAACGUCGCAAGACCAAAGUGGGGGACCUUCGGGCCUCACACCAGCGGAUGUGCCCAGAUGGGAUUAGCUAGUAGGUGGUGUAAUGGCUAACCUAGGCGACGAUCCCUAGCUGGUCUGAGAGGAUGACCAGCCACACUGGAACUGAGACACGGUCCAGCCUCCUACGGGAGGCAGCAGUGGGGAAUAUUGCACAAUGGGCGCAAGCCUGAUGCAGCCAUGCCGCGUGUAUGAAGAAGGCCUUCGGGUUGUAAAGUACUUUCAGCGGGGAGGAAGGCGGUGAAGUUAACAGCUUCACCGAUUGACGUUACCCGCAGAAGAAGCACCGGCUAACUCCGUGCCAGCCGCCGCCGUAA
rnacentral:rRNA from 1 species